GGCGGGAUAGAGCAGAUGGUCAGCUUAUCGGUCUCAUAAGCCGAAGGUCGCUGGUUCGAGUCCAGCUCCCGCCCCCA
rnacentral:tRNA from 2 species